UUAAGUUAACUUAGUGGCGGACGGUGCAGUAACACGUGGAUAAUCUGGCCUUUGCUGUGGGAUAACAUCAGGAAACGGGUGCUAAUACCUGCAUAAGCACACACUGUCGCAUGGCAGAGUGUGAAAAGAUUUAUCGGCAAAGAGAGGAGUCCGCGUUCUAUUAGAUAGUUGGUGGGGUAAUGGCCUACCAAGUCUGCGAUAGAUAGCCGAACUGAGAGGUUGAACGGCACACCUGGGACUGAGACACGGCCCAGACUCCUACGGGAGUGCAGCAGUGGUGGUGAUAUUGCACAAUGGGUGGAAACCCUGAUGCAGCGACGCCGCGUAGAGGGAAGAAGGUUAUUCGGAUUGUAAACCUCUGUCAGUGUGGGAAGAUAGUGACGGUAACCCCUUGAGGAACGCCAACGGCUAACUACGUAGCCAGCAAGCCGCGAGUAAUACGUAG
rnacentral:rRNA from 1 species